UUGACCUCGGAUCAGGUAGGGAUACCCGUUGAACUUAAGCAUAUCAAUAAGCGGAGGACAAGAAACCAACGGGGAUUGCCUCAGUAACGGCGAGUGAAGCGCAACAGCUCAAAU
rnacentral:rRNA from 1 species